UACGUAGGGUGCGAGCGUUAAUCGGAAUUACUGGGCGUAAAGCGUGCGCAGGCGGUUCGACAAGUCCGAUGUGAAAGCCCCGGGCUCAACCUGGGAAUGGCAUUGGAGACUGGCGAGCUUGAGUGUGGCAGAGGGGGGUGGAAUUCCGCGUGUAGCAGUGAAAUGCGUAGAGAUGCGGGGGAACACCGAUGGCGAAGGCAGCCCCCUGGGCUGACACUGACGCUCAGGCACGAAAGCGUGGGGAGCAAACAGG
rnacentral:rRNA from 1 species